AUGGGCCAUGUCUGCUUACAGGUCCAGGCGUGCUUGAGGCUAUUGGGAAAACUUCAGGACUGCUUCUGGCCACAGGAUAUGCCUGGUCCAGGAAAUGGCCACAUUUCCUCCCUCAGGACCUCUGCUUGGAUGGGCUGUCUUGGAAAUAAGGAUUCCUCUAUGUUGAUAAGGGAGGAAGAUUUUCUGCUCAGAUGUGUCCACAGUCCUGGUGGGCAGGAUUACAGUUCCUUCAAGGCAAAGGACUCGGCUCUCCUUGCUGCUCCAUCACAUCCUCACAGCACCUGA
rnacentral:lncRNA from 10 species